CGUAUAUUUAAGUUGUUGCAGUUAAAAAGCUCGUAGUUGGAUUUCGGUUGAGAACGGCCGGUCCGCCGUUUGGUGUGCACUGGCUGGUUUCAACUUUCUGUAGAGGACGCGCUCUGGCUUCACGGCUGGACGCGGAGUCUACGUGGUUACUUUGAAAAAAUUAGAGUGUUCAAAGCGGGCUUACGCUUGAAUAUUUCAGCAUGGAAUAACACUAUAGGACUCCUGUCCUAUUUCGUUGGUCUCGGGACGGGAGUAAUGAUUAAGAGGAACAGUUGGGGGCAUUCGUAUUUCAUUGUCAGAGGUGAAAUUCUUGGAUUUAUGAAAGACGAACUUCUGCGAAAGCAUUUGCCAAGGAUGUUUUCAUUAAUCAAGAACGAAAGUUGGGGGCUCGAAGAUGAUUAGAUACCAUCCUAGUCUCAACCAUAAACGAUGCCGACUAGGGAUUGCAGGAUGUUAAUUGAUGACUCCUGCAGCACCUUAUGAGAAAUCAAAGUUUUUGGGUUCCGGGGGGAGUAUGGUCGCAAGGCUGAAACUUAAAGGAAUUGACGGA
rnacentral:rRNA from 1 species